rnacentral:misc_RNA from 1 species
AAGGAUAUUUAAUUGCAGUAAAAGCCUCUUCUUUAGCAAAAUCACUUUNUAUUGGAAAUUCAAAAAGUUUUUUGAAACAAAAACCAAAUAAAAGAGUUUUUGGUUUUUAUGUAUUUCUACAAUAAUGCUAAUAAAAAACUAGCUUUCAAAUAAAUAACUAAUUUUACAUUAAUUUAAUUCUUAUUUUUAAGAGAUUAAUUUUUAUUAAUUUAGUUAGUUAAAUUUUAGUUAAGAUUAGACUUUAAUUAGAACUAUAAAUUAUAUAUAAUUCAUAUUAUUUUUAAUUAUAAAAAAAAUAUCUAUAUCUUAGGAUUUCAAUUACUUAAUUAAGUAACAAUUUACUUAUUAAUAAACUUUUCACAAUAGAAGAAAAUCUUUUCUUCUAUUGUGAAAAGUUUAAUAGAACUUAAAUUUAAUUUGAGAUUUAAAUAUUUCCUAUCUUAUAUAUAUUUUUUAAAAAUUAAAAAAAAAAGAAUUUAUAAUUUACNGUUAAUUUUAAUAUUAACAAUUAAAAAAAGAUAAAUGAUAAAAAACUUUGCAUUUNUUUUUUUUUUUNAUUCUACUAGAAUAUUAAUAAAUAAAAAAGACUAAAUUCUUUUUGUUUUUUGUAAUUUUUUUAAAUUAAAUAUUAAAAAAAAUAAUUUUUCUUCCGUAUCAUUAUUGAUACGGAAAAUAAGAUAAAUGAUAAAGAAAUAGUAAGUUUUAUAAAAAAAGUAAGAUUUUGCCAUUGAGGAUGUGAAAAUAAAAUGAAAAAAAAUCUUUUCUCUUUAUCCAUUCUANANUNUCNNAUUUCAAAUANAAAUUUUUGAAUCUUGACGANUUAAACAUGAANUUGGCUUAU